rnacentral:rRNA from 1 species
UGGGGAAUAUUGGACAAUGGGCGCAAGCCUGAUCCAGCCAUGCCGCGUGAGUGACGAAGGCCUUAGGGUUGUAAAGCUCUUUUGGCGGGGACGAUAAUGACGGUACCCGCAGAAUAAGCCCCGGCUAACUUCGUGCCAGCAGCCGCGGUAAUACGAAGGGGGCUAGCGUUGUUCGGAAUUACUGGGCGUAAAGCGCACGUAGGCGGAUGUGCCAGUCAGGGGUGAAAUCCCGAGGCUCAACCUCGGAACUGCCUCCGAUACAGCACGUCUCGAGUCCGGAAGAGGUGAGUGGAAUUCCUAGUGUAGAGGUGAAAUUCGUAGAUAUUAGGAAGAACACCAGUGGCGAAGGCGGCUCACUGGUCCGGUACUGACGCUGAGGUGCGAAAGCGUGGGGAGCAAACAGGAUUAGAUACCCCGGUAGUCCCUGAGCGGGCUGGCAAGGCGCAU